CACACGCUAAGACGGUAACGCCAGCCAAGCGCAUUCUACACAAGCAAUCAGUGCUUGCGUGUGUGUGUAUGCUCUACAGAGUUGUUGUGGUAAAUGCGCGCCGCGUCCGUUCGUUCGUCUUGUCGUUCGUCGCGCGCUCGCUCGCUCGCUAGUUGUUCGUUAUCGUUUGACCGCUCGCCGCUGGACCACCCAAUCGAAUUGAUGACGGACCGCAUGUGCGCUAUAAACAAAUAACGGUAGUUUGUUGUUUGAGGUGUGUGUGUGUGGUGUUUUUUAUGUGGCAGCACGACGCACUCAAAGCGUUGAAUUGUUGUGUGGCAUGUGAGUUGCCAACGCUUUUGUCAAAAACAAAAAAUUAUCACGAAAAUGAAAAUGAGUGCAAAUUGCAAGACAAAACAAUGAAAAACAAUUCCAUUCAAAUCCCACUUGAGGGCCUUGAACGCCAUGCUAUGCGACAAUUACAAAUGCAAGUACACACAUACACGCACAUAUGUACAUAUUCACCUUGCCGCUGAGAUGGUGAAUUAAAGGCGAAGCACGAAACUCACACUGUCAAGGCGACAGCGAACGAAAUCACACGCAUAUUUGGCGAAAAACAAAAGCGAAAAAUUUGCAAAAACACAAAAACAGAAAUAGAAAAUUCUUGAGGAAAAUUUGCGAGACGCAAAAAACAAGAAAAAUUAUAACAAAACCUCUUAAAAGUGCACAGCACACAUGUCUGCGUAUGCAUAAAGGGUGUGUCGUUAAAUGAGGCGCGCGUGGGCCCAGCAUUGUUAUCACGCGCUGAUGAAUGGCAUGUGGUGAUGGCGGGAGCAGCGGAGGGGCAAAAUUGCUUUUAAAAAAAUCUGCGCGAAAACUUAAACCCAGCAGGCAGCCAGCGAACUUUGGCCCGCCUACAUUAACAAUUUCUACCAUUUCUUCGCGUGCUUCUUCUUCUUCUGCGCCUUCUUUAAUACUGCUGCUUCGACGUUUGUGACGCGCUUAUGCAAAUGACAUAGUGACUGAACUGUUGUUGUUGCUAUUAUUGCUAUUAUUACUGCUGGAGGUGUCAGCGUCAACAGCAGCAGCCAAACAGCACACCGAAACAACAACAACAACAAAAGUCAUACACUAUUAAAUGCUUGUCCUUGCACAUUAUUCUUCGCACAACUCAGCCAAGCAGCGGCGCAACCGAGGCAAGGCAAGACGACUGCGGCGAAUUUAGGAGACACAAUUUAAGCGCACACCAGUUUUGUUGUUGUUGUUGGCGCUCGCAUGAAUGGGGUGGCCGCAUAACAAUAAGCAGCUGCUGUGUUGGCCCAACAACGUCGGCAAAGUGGAGAAAAAUUAACUCGAACGAAUAUUCAUGCAUGUGCGCGGCUAAAUGCGUGUGCGUAUGUGUUGGCGAAAGUGCGAGUGUUAAAUUUUAAAGCAAAUUUAGUGAAUAAAUAAAGGCAAUGCGAAACUAAUGUAGUGAAUAAUCGAAAAUUCUGUGCUAUUUGUGUAGUGGUGGCGUAAACAAAAAAAUUUAAAUGUGCAAAAAAUACACUUACGGGCUACAAGUGUGUUAAAAAUUAAAUUGAAAUAAAAAAAAUUAAACAAAAAAAUUUAAAAAUAUUUGAAAA